AGUAAUAUAUCGGAACGUACCCAAGAGUGGGGGACAACCAGUCGAAAGAUUGGCUAAUACCGCAUACGAUCUAAGGAUGAAAGUGGGGGACCUUCGGGCCUCACGCUCCUGGAGCGGCCGAUAGCUGAUUAGCUAGUUGGUGGGGUAAAGGCCUACCAAGGCGAUGAUCAGUAGCUGGUCUGAGAGGACGAUCAGCCACACUGGGACUGAGACACGGCCCAG
rnacentral:rRNA from 1 species